CUGCCAUCUCCUACCUGCUAAACAGCUUUCCUUACAUUUACCAGAUUCGAGGGUGUCCUUUCCAGGAAUGAAGAAAAGGACUGUUUGCUGCACGAUCUCUUGAUAUCACGGAACAAUUCUUCCAACACUACAAGUGAAAUCUCAUAAAGAAAUGGGUACCCGAAGCCACAGUUUCUUACCUUCUAUUUGGUUGUGCACACUGUGACCACCAUUUCAUUUUAACCAGGUUUAACGCAAAGCUUCUUUGAAGAUGUUCCCAUUUCCACCAACUCACUUCAACCUCAAUGCCCUGGCAUUACCCUACACUGGGGAAACAAGUCUUCAC
ensembl:lncRNA